CCUACGGGCGGCUGCAGUGAGGAAUAUUGGUCAAUGGACGUAAGUCUGAACCAGCCAUGCCGCGUGCAGGAUGACGGCUCUAUGAGUUGUAAACCUCUUUUGUAAGAGAGUAAACUCCGAGACGUGUACCGGUUUGUAAGUAUCUUAUGAAUAAGGAUCGGCUAACUCCGUGCCAGCAGCCGCGGUAAUACGGAGGAUCCGAGCGUUAUCCGGAUUUAUUGGGUUUAAAGGGUGCGUAGGCGGUUUUAUAAGUUAGCGGUGAAAGGUUGGGGCUCAACCCCGAAAUUGCCGUUGAUACUGUGGGGCUAGAGUAUGGUUGAGGUAGGCGGAAUGCAUGGUGUAGCGGUGAAAUGCUUAGAGAUCAUACAGAACCCCGAUUGCGAAGGCAGCUUACCAAGCUAUAACUGACGUUGAGGCACGAAAGCGUGGGUAGCAAACAGGAUUAGAUACCCGAGUAGUC
rnacentral:rRNA from 1 species